rnacentral:tRNA from 1 species
UGCUGGGACUGCUCAGUUGGUAGAGCAUGAGACCCUUAAUCUCAGGGUUGUGGGUUCAAUCCCCACAUUGGGCAA